CCGCGGUAAUACAGAGGGUGCGAGCGUUAAUCGGAAUUACUGGGCGUAAAGCGCGCGUAGGCGGUUUCGUAAGUCGGGUGUGAAAUCCCCGGGCUCAACCUGGGAAUUGCAUUCGGGACUGCGAGGCUAGGGUGCGGAAGAGGGAAGUGGAAUUUCCGGUGUAGCGGUGAAAUGCGUAGAUAUCGGAAGGAACAUCAGUGGCGAAAGCGACUUCCUGGUCCAGCACCGACGCUCAGGCGCGAAAGCGUGGGGAGCAAACAGG
rnacentral:rRNA from 1 species